AUUGAACGCUGGCGGCAGGCCUAACACAUGCAAGUCGAGCGGUAGCACAGAGAGCUUGCUCUCGGGUGACGAGCGGCGGACGGGUGAGUAAUGUCUGGGAAACUGCCUGAUGGAGGGGGAUAACUACUGGAAACGGUAGCUAAUACCGCAUAAUGUCGCAAGACCAAAGUGGGGGACCUUCGGGCCUCAUGCCAUCAGAUGUGCCCAGAUGGGAUUAGCUAGUAGGUGGGGUAAUGGCUCACCUAGGCGACGAUCCCUAGCUGGUCUGAGAGGAUGACCAGCCACACUGGAACUGAGACACGGUCCAGACUCCUACGGGAGGCAGCAGUGGGGAAUAUUGCACAAUGGGCGCAAGCCUGAUGCAGCCAUGCCGCGUGUGUGAAGAAGGCCUUCGGGUUGUAAAGCACUUUCAGCGGGGAGGAAGGCGAUAAGGUUAAUAACCUUGUCGAUUGACGUUACCCGCAGAAGAAGCACCGGCUAACUCCGUGCCAGCAGCCGCGGUAAUACGGAGGGUGCAAGCGUUAAUCGGAAUUACUGGGCGUAAAGCGCACGCAGGCGGUCUGUCAAGUCGGAUGUGAAAUCCCCGGGCUCAACCUGGGAACUGCAUUCGAAACUGGCAGGCUAGAGUCUUGUAGAGGGGGGUAGAAUUCCAGGUGUAGCGGUGAAAUGCGUAGAGAUCUGGAGGAAUACCGGUGGCGAAGGCGGCCCCCUGGACAAAGACUGACGCUCAGGUGCGAAAGCGUGGGGAGCAAACAGGAUUAGGUACCCUGGUAGUCCACGCCGUAAACGAUGUCGAUUUGGAGGUUGUGCCCUUGAGGCGUGGCUUCCGGAGCUAACGCGUUAAAUCGACCGCCUGGGGAGUACGGCCGCAAGGUUAAAACUCAAAUGAAUUGACGGGGGCCCGCACAAGCGGUGGAGCAUGUGGUUUAAUUCGAUGCAACGCGAAGAACCUUACCUGGUCUUGACAUCCACAGAACUUUCCAGAGAUGGAUUGGUGCCUUCGGGAACUGUGAGACAGGUGCUGCAUGGCUGUCGUCAGCUCGUGUUGUGAAAUGUUGGGUUAAGUCCCGCAACGAGCGCAACCCUUAUCCUUUGUUGCCAGCGGUUCGGCCGGGAACUCAAAGGAGACUGCCAGUGAUAAACUGGAGGAAGGUGGGGAUGACGUCAAGUCAUCAUGGCCCUUACGACCAGGGCUACACACGUGCUACAAUGGCAUAUACAAAGAGAAGCGACCUCGCGAGAGCAAGCGGACCUCAUAAAGUAUGUCGUAGUCCGGAUUGGAGUCUGCAACUCGACUCCAUGAAGUCGGAAUCGCUAGUAAUCGUAGAUCAGAAUGCUACGGUGAAUACGUUCCCGGGCCUUGUACAUACCGCCCGUCACACCAUGGGAGUGGGUUGCAAAAGAAGUAGGUAGCUUAACCUUCGGGAGGGCGCUUACCACUUUGUGAUUCAUGACUGGGGUGA
rnacentral:rRNA from 1 species